CAGCACAUGCAUGUGGAGAUGAGAGGGCAGCUUUGUGGAGUCAGUCAGGGAUUGAACCCAGGUCAUCAGUCUUCGUGUCAAGCCCCCUUUCCUGCUGCCCCACCUUGCAGGCCCUUCACUAUUUUCUCUCCUGUGCUCUCCCUUCCUUUGACCUUGUGUUGACCUUGCUUCCCUCUUCUCUUCCAUAACACAGAUGCUGAGAACACCACCCACUUGAAAGUCGUUCGUAGCUGACAUGCAUGUCAACCAGAGCCCUCUCUCUCCAGGGAUCAUGUUAGUCACACAGCAAAUUAGAAUUUGCUCUUCUCUGCUGCCAGGGGUCUUGGGACGACCUCUCUCAUGUGCUUGCUUCUGUGAGCUGUGAGGACUUUUGCCUUCUUUCUAAAGAAUUUUUUUUUUUAUUCUUUGACAGUUCCAUAUGUGUACACAAAGUAUGUUGAUCAUAUCCAUGUCAACACCCCUCUCACUCCCCCAGGUGUUCUCAGUACUUCCUCUUCCUCCUCCUCUUCUUCCUUCUUCUCCCACUCUUCUUUAAAAUAGCAGAGUCUUCUUUAAAAUGUACAUGAGUAUUGAGCCAUCCAAGGGGCAUGGGCACCCUACCAGCAGCCACACCUUUGAGGAAAAUUGGCCCUCCUUUUCUAGCAGCCAUCAGUUGUCAAUGGGUUCUCACCUAGGGACGGGCUUUUAUGAGCCCCUCUCCUAUCCAUGCUGGGAUGCUGAAUGGCUUGGUCCUGUGGAGGUCACCACAGCUGCUGUGAGUUGAUGAGUGCAAUGGCCGUGUUGUGUCCAGAAGACAGCAUGUCACAGCCCUCCCCCAGCCCGCCACUCUUUCAUUCUUCCUGAUUCCUUUUCCCCGAUGUUCCCUGAGUCCUGCAGGGAAAGGAUGGAUGUAGAUGUCCCAUUGAGGGUGAGAAUUCAGCAGUCACUUAUCCUCAGCACUCUAACAAGUCACGCGUCUCUCUCUGCGCUAACCACUACACUGCAAAGAGAAGCUUCUCUGACCAAGGUUGAGAGCAGAGCUAGUUUGUGGAUACAAACAGAAAUAUUUCUAAAGCAGUUUGAUAACAUGUCCAUUUAACAAAACAACAGCAUGACCUGUGACCUCCUGACCUCCAGCUUUUGACCAGGUGUACUUGACUUGGAUCCCUUCCUAUGAAGCAGACCUCAGAUCCCACCGGGAAACAGUUGGUUUACCCCAUGGCUGCCCUGCCACUAUCACACCAGCGGUCUCUAUUGAGGGUCAACACGAUGGGAUUCACAAUCACCAUGGAAACAAAGUCUCUGAGUAUGCCUGCCAGGAAGUUUCUAGGUUGUGGUCACCAAAGUGGGAAGAUCCACCCUGAAGGUUGGCAGCACCAUCUCCUGGUCUUGGGUCCUGGGCUGAGUAAAGGAGGAAGUGAGCUGAACACCAGCGUUCAUCUUUCUCUGCUUCCUGACUGCGGAUGUGACGUGACCGGCUGCCUGACGCUCCUGUCACUGUGCCUUUCCCUGCCAUGAUGGACUCUGCGCCCUCGAACUGUGAGCCACAAUAAAUCCUUCCUUCUUGAA